rnacentral:lncRNA from 1 species
GCGAGUGAGAAGUAAUGCAAAAGUUACUUUAUUUGUAAAGGUCACUUUCCUCGACACUGGUUGAUCUCAGCGCAUUGAUCUCAUUAAUAUGUUGAUGUUUUUCUGUUUGGACCAGUGCCGUCUCCCAGACCCGAUAACUCGUUCCACGAGAGUUCAGGAGUCACGAUAGACAGCAGCCACAACAUACACCAACCCACAUACGACCCGUGGACGGGGUCUGAGGCACGGGACAUGAGCCCUUCAGAGCCCACCAAAGAGAAGGAGAAACAAGGCUUCUUCAGAUCCAUCAAGAAGAAGAAGAAGAAGUCACAAACCACAGACGCUGAUGAAGAGCGACUUCCAGUCACGAGGAAAACACUGUUUCCUCUCUUUCACUCUCAGAGGAGCUUCACGCGCAGCUCCUCUGAGAGAGAGCGUCCCCUAGUGGCCACACCAAUGGUACACAUGAGUCUCACACCUACAGUCCUAUGGGGUUAGAUCUCUGCCACAAUUCUGCGCGCGAAAGAUCAUAUUUGGAGCGCACAAAAGUGCAUUUUGCACGCACGCGAUCUGAGUUUU